CUGAAAGGGUGCGGUAAGAGCGCACCGGAUUGCUGGUAACAGUAAUUGCAGGGUAAACUCCACCCGGAGCAAGACCAAAUAGGGUUUCAUGACUAGGUUAAUGCAAAUUAGCAUAGUAUAAGCGUGGCUCGCGUGGAAACCGGGUAGGUUGCUUGAGCUAUAGAGCGAUUUAUAGCCUAGACGAAUGAUUGUCACUUUUCUUCGGAAGAGAUACAAAACCCGGCUUAUGCGUCAAUCUCACCA
rnacentral:ncRNA from 2 species